rnacentral:rRNA from 1 species
GAUGAACGCUGGCGGCGUGCCUAAUACAUGCAAGUCGAGCGAACUGAUUAGAAGCUUGCUUCUAUGACGUUAGCGGCGGACGGGUGAGUAACACGUGGGCAACCUGCCUGUAAGACUGGGAUAACUUCGGGAAACCGAAGCUAAUACCGGAUAGGAUCUUCUCCUUCAUGGGAGAUGAUUGAAUGAUGGUUUCGGCUAUCAAUUACAGAUGGCCCGCGGUGCAUUAGCUAGUUGGUGAGGUAACGGCUCACCAAGGCAACGAUGCAUAGCCGACCUGAGAGGGUGAUCGGCCACACUGGGACUGAGACACGGCCCAGACUCCUACGGGAGGCAGCAGUAGGGAAUCUUCCGCAAUGGACGAAAGUCUGACGGAGCAACGCCGCGUGAGUGAUGAAGGCUUUCGGGUCGUAAAACUCUGUUGUUAGGGAAGAACAAGUACAAGAGUAACUGCUUGUACCUUGACGGUACCUAACCAGAAAGCCACGGCUAACUACGUGCCAGCCGCCGCGGUAACAC